rnacentral:lncRNA from 1 species
UCUUCAUGGGUUUCUGUGUGCAGUCUUGGGGAGAGAAGCUGAGAUCUUCCUCCAGUCUGAACAUUGAGUGGCAUCAAGAUUGCAAAGAAACAAGAAAGGUUCUUAACUGAAAGAAAGACAGUCAAGGAAAAAUAGUCAAAUGGGAAAUUAAAUACAGAAAAGAAAAGAAUAGCUUUGAACCAGGACCGCUGAGCCAGCAUCUGAUACUUCUCAAAGCAGUUUCUCUAACAACAUGGGCUGGUGCGUAGUCUCAAAGCUGAGACAGCUGAGCAGGACUUCCUUGUCUAGUAAAAUGAGUCUACAGGGCAAGCUGAAGGCUCUUGUCCCAUGAGCAAGGAUGACCAAUCUCCUCAAUCCUCCCAGGUGAGCUGGAGACUCUGGAACAAACAUUCAGUGCCUGGCCAGCCAGCCCAGA